UUUUUUGCCUAUGGAUGUUCAAUAGUCUAAUACCAUUUACUGAAAGGGGAAAAAAAUCUGAUCUUUCUUCUACUGAAUUGCUUUUCUUUUUUACUAAACAAACAAAGAAAUAAACAAAACCCAUAAAACAAAAAACAACAUCCUCAAAACCCUAGAGAGAAAGGGUGGGGGGGGAGAGGUGUGGGGAAGGGGUGGGUGCAUGCCUGCCAGUGGGCACGCAUCAGGAGCCGGCGCUGGGCCGGGCAGGGAGGUUCCCGAAGGGCAAACGGGAGGCAGGUUUUUCCACUAAAUGAACAGUGGAACGACCACGUGACUGGGCAGUCCCAGGGCAUUCAUGACAAAGGCGUGAAAUGAGGUAGCAUCUCCAACUCCAACAGAGAGGAGAUGGGGCCAGGUUCCUGUUGGAGAUGCCAUGCCUGCAUGCAUCACGGCCUCCCCAAGUGCCGGAAGACGAGGCGGAGUUCCACUGAAUUGCUUUUGCAUCUUUGUCAAAACACCUUUGGGCAGAAGCGUGUGGGUCUAUUUCUGGGUUCUCUGCGAUGCUCCACUGAUCUAUGUACUUAUCCCUCCACAAAAACUAUAGUUUUUAAACUCAUCUUUGUGCCAAUUCAAAGCCUCAUCGAUUAUAGGCAAUGUAUCUAAAAAUAGUCUUACAAUUCAGAAAUCCAUAAAGAUGAAUUGGGAAAAUGCCCCCCUUGAAAUGUGUAGCUUACACAAAUUACACUUAAAGUGUAUUUUUCUGGCCUAAGUGCCCAGGUAUAGGCCUUUGGGGGAAGAACCCAGAACUCUGAUUCUCAAAACAAGGCUGCACUGAAUUCUAUCUGGCCAGGUAUUCUGCAGCCUCGCUUCCUGCUGGCAUGUAGGGGUGUGUAUAUAUACAUUUUAUAUUUGGAAAUUUGGUGCAUAUUUUUAACAAUUAAAAUAGAUUUUCUUUUAUUUGCCCUUUUAUAGAUCUCCAUAUAUGGCUAUAGAAUGAUAUUUAGGUUAUGUGACCAAAAAAAACAAGAAAUGAAACAUUGUUUAUUAAAAAGGAAAGAAUAGCAUGGUUAAACCAUACAUAAUAAAAAUGAUGCUUUUAUAAGACAGUAAAAAACAAAGUGAAUAAACCUUGUGUAAUUUUUCUUCGGGACCAUGUAAAUAUGCUAUAUGAUUGAAAUCAUGAUUGAAUCAGGAAAAAAAGCAAACACUACAUUUUAAAAUAAAAUGAAACAAAUUAUCCUAAGUUUGUACAGGAUGUUUACAUAAUGAAUAGAAUAUAAUUAAAGUGAUUUAAACCAUGCUAUUGUGUCAAUAUAUUCUGGUGGGUUAUAAUCUAGGAACGGCAAGGAAACCUUCAACUACAUUUGUGACCUUUGUUUUUAGUAUAAAUAUAAAUGUUAUUUCAAUUCAAUUAUCAAGAUAUUGUGCAAUAUAUAAUUAUUAAUUAUGUUGAUAUCAUUAAGGACCAAUAUUUCCAGUGUUAGAAGAAAAAGAAAUACAAAAGAAGCUAAAAAUCGUAAUAAAUCCUAAAAGGAAAUAGAAGAAUAAUAAAAAAAGAUGGAUUCCUGACGCUACGCUGAACUUGGCUCUCAUUCACCCAGACGACAGGAAGCUGAGCACACCUGGGGACCAGGUGGGCCCCAAAGAGAGGGGCCGGUUCUGUGAGCUGUGCCCGGGAGGCGGGACGAGGGGUACAACUUGCGGGACGCAGUGGACGCAAGAACUCACAACCCCUUGCUUGAAAGUCACUGAGACUCCCGAGACGGCAACUGCACAGCAUUAAGCCAAACACUCGGUCCUUCCGUGCGUGUGGCCAGGAAGCGGCCCCGGGUGCUCUUCUUGCUCAGGUAAGUUGUGGAAUGCAGCUGCCAGUACUUCCUAGAGAUUUUCACAAGCGAUGGUAAAAUGUAAGCUUCCAGGAAGGGGCUGUACUGUUUUUCAAGUGGAUUUGACUCUGUGUGUGUGUGUGUGUGUGUGUGUGUGUGUGUGUGUGUGUGUGUUGUGACUGUACUUUGCAAAAUACUCUUACAACCAUUUCAGAUAGACUGUGUACCUAUAACAGGUAGUACCUAAAGACAUAACAGAUGAAUUACAUUUGACUAAAAAUCUAGGUAUUUAUUUUCAGAAUUCCUGAAAAUGAUCAAAUUCAAACUUAGGAAAAAUGUGCAUCUUCUGGCCCCUUUUGAUAGUAAGCAGACGACAUUUCAUGAGGCACUAGAUGUCGGUGGAAAGGCAGCCUGGUGGAGUGGCUCUUCACGGCUUUAACCCUGCACACGGCAGAAACCGACGCCCUAAUUCACACAUGUCUGUGACUUUUUCUCCUAGAAGGUGGCAACAGAACAGCAUGCUCUAAUAAAACCAGUAUGUUCUGAUAACGCUUUACCAGCUGAAAGGGAGGUAUCCUGAAAUAGCUUUUCUCUUUCACAGUCACCAUGUGGACAAGCACCAGCCCUGUUUCCCAUGCAUUAGCUGUAUUUAGGCAAAUUGCUUAAACUCCCUGGGCAUCAAUUUGUAAAUUUCAAAGAUGGAGCUGGGAUAUUAUACCCGCAUCACGGAGAGGCUGUGAAAAUCAAGUGAGAACACAGGCACGAAAGCACCCAUCAGGUCCACGCAGACAGCAAGUGCCCCAGUAACUCGUGAUGAGGUUAUUAUUAGCUUCACCCGCACACACACCAGCAGUGUGGGGUCAGAACGCAGCAGACUCCUUGUCAAAGGGCCAUGUGAGAAGAGACUGCCAGUCCAGACCAGGCCUGGAUCAGACUGUGCGCUCACCACGCAGAUGGACGCGUGCUCGGUCAGAAAGGUUCAGCUGGAGGUGGCACACGCUGGAGUUCCCGUCAUGGCUCAGAGGCUGUGCGGUGCUGCUGACUAUAGGAAUCCGUGUCAACCACAGGAAGACUGCAGAUCUUCUGAGUACUGGCCAACUUAGCUCCUAGAGGCCGCCUGGCUUUCAUAGUGUGUGGGCUUUCCUUCAUCUUUGAAUGCAGCACCAACACUUCUUUCUGACAAAUCUG